GCCAUAGCUCAGUUGUAGAGCAUCUACUUUGUAUGCAGAAACUUCCAGGUCCAACCCCUGGCAUCUCCU